ensembl:lncRNA
AUGGGUGCAGGUGCACAGACAAAACACCACGUGUGGACACAGAGAGAAGGCGGCCACCUGCAGGCCAAAAAGAGAAGCCUCCGCAGAAACAAGCCUCCGUGUGCUUUGAUCUCCGACUCGCAGCCUCAGACCUGGGAGAAAACGACCAUCUGUUGUCGAAGCCCCAGGCUGUGCUAUUUUGUUCUGGCAACCGGAGGAAAUUCCUACAGAUAUGUUCACAGACGGCCCUGGCACUCCCAGGCCCAUGCCCAGGGUGAAACCUCCAGGAAACCCAAGCCCAGCGCGACCUCCCAGUCACAGGUGAAGGGCUGCCUGGCUGGCUGCUGCCCACACAGGCUCACAGCUCACAGGGAGCCCGGUCUGAAGCCCCAUCCGCUCAGAGGCGCCUUCUCCAGAAAGCCCGAGGGAAGAUGCCACCACCGCAGCUCUUCACACCGCUGUCCCUCUCUGAGCUCCAGCCUCACCCCAUCCAGGACAGAGUUACACUCAGGCCGGAGUGCAGGGCCCAGGACCAAGGCUCCCUGCAGCGUUGACCUCCCGGGCUCCAGGAUCUGUCUUCCCACCUCAGCUUCCUGAUGAGCUGAAACUACAGGGUCUUGCUCUGUCUCCCAGGCUGGAGUGCAGUCAUGCAAUCACAGCUCAGUGCAGCAUCAACCUCCUGGACUUAAGCAAUCCUCCCACCUCAGCCUCUGGAGUAGCUGUGCCUGGGGACAAAGAUUCCUGGCCUCAGCCCACUCUCAGAUUCAUGGGGAGACAGAACUGAGACUGAGAGCUGGUUCCUCUCCCUCUCUCGUGAGGACACAGUGAGAUGGCAGCUGGGCAUAAAUCAGGAAGAGGAUCCCUACCAAGAACUCCACUGUGCUGCACCCCGAUCUAGACUUCCAGCCUGCAAAAUUGUGAGAAAUUAGUGUUCAUUGUUUCAGCCGCCCAGCGCAUGGUAUUGUGUUAUAGCAACCUGAACCAAGACAAGGGCUCUCAGCUGGGGAGACAGAAACUGAUCUGGAGCCUGCACUCCACCCCGGGGAGGGGAAGAUGGCUGUGGACCUGGACAGGGGGCCAGGACAGAGGCAGCGCCUGGGCUGCGGUGACCCUUGCUUGCCGCUUCUGCUCAGGGGCAGUGGGACAGGAUUGCAGAAGGUUCCAGAAUGCAUGUUGGGCGAGCGGUAGUCCCUGCAGAGUUUGGGGUAACAUGCACAGAGGAAGAAGUGGUGGAAAAGCAGUAACAGGAUGGCUUUAGGGCAGGGAGCUGUUGGAAAGUGGCAGACAGUGGGCAGUGGCACGAGAUGGUCCAGCGCGGCGCCCCCUGACAUGGGAGUGCCAUCAUGCACUGCACAGCGACCUUCCAGGCAAGGAGGGACACAUGCAAGACAGUGGUCCAUGAUCAUGACGGAGCUGAACAACUCCUAUGGCCUCGUGAUGUCAUAGCCGUACUGUCGUAGAACAGAGGUCACUUGGAGUGACGGGCUAUGCCAACCAGCCUAGGGGUGCAGGAAGUACACCGUCUAGGCUGGUGUGAGGGCAGUCUGUGAUGUUCACGCCAGGAACCACCUAACGACCAUUUCUCGGACUCGGACUGCAUCCUUGUUAAGGGGCCCGUGACUGUAUGCCUUGGGAAGCCACACGUGACUGCUGUCCCGCCCUGCACUGACUGCCCAGCGAGCGCUCAGAAUUCAUUAGAUAUGGGGUGGACAGAGGAGGAAGACAGCACCAGCGCCCAGACAACAACAGCCUUUGGAAUCACCAUUUCCUGAACCAAGGGACCUCCCCAGCCACCCACACCAAAGCCUAAAAUCUCAUACCUCCUCUCUCUAAGGCUUGGGUCUGCAGGCUUUCUCUGCAAGGGCCACGUACAGAAACUUUUCGGUUUUGUCGGAAGGACCCACGUCUGCCCUUUUAGUGCCAAAGCCAGCAAAGGUGACACAUAACGAGAGGGAGAGGCUGUGUGCCAAUGGAACUUCACUCACAGACACCAACAUUUGAAUUUCAUCUAAUUUUCACAUGUCAUGAAAUAUUAUUCUUUUAAUCUUUUUAAGCAGUAAAAAGUGUAAAAAAUGUUCUUAGCUCACUGGGCAGUAGAAAAAUAGCUUGUAAGCUGGAUUUGGCUGGAGGGUAGUUUGCUGACCAAGGGAAAGGGAAAAAAACCAAACUUGCUCCAACCCGCCUCUCCCUCCAGUCCCAUGCAGUCCCACCUUCCUUUUUUUUUUUUUUGUAACCACACCAUUAUCCCCACCAUUAAUUUUUCUCACUUUUGACUUGGUUUUCUAUUACAUAGGCCACUGUUCUCUCCAUUGAAACUCCACCAUUACCAUGUGCUCAAUUCCCAAACACAUUUGGGUCUCUUUGUGGGUUCUGUGGAUUCAGUUCCACUCCAUUGAUCUUGGUUCUUCCUGCCCCGGAACCAAAGUUAUUACAGUUAGUAAUACAUGGAGGCUUGUCUUUGUGCAGAUUUCUUUGUACUGGGAUUUUCAGAAGACUUUCCUAGCCCUGGAAGGCUGGUUUAAAAGAAAGGUUUCUUUCCUGUCUGUAGUUCCUCCCAAACUGCCCUCUAGAAGGUGAACCCCUUGUGCUCCCACAAGCAGGGUGCUAGGUCCCCAGUUUCUUGACCUUGGUGGGUUCUAUAAAUCAUUGCAACGUUGGCAAUUGGCUAAGCAAGAAAUGUCUUACCACUGUUUUAAUUGAGUAUAUUUUUUAUACAUCCACUUAUUUUGUUCUGUGAAUUGCCUGUUCAUAUCCUUUGCUAUUUUCCCCCAUGCAGGUUUUAAUGGUUUAACCAAUUUUUAGG